UCCUGGGUUCAGGUGAUUCUCCUGCCUCAGU
rnacentral:piRNA from 1 species